AUAUCGCUUUCGUGACCGACUGACACGAUCGUGAGCUUAUGUUUAUGUGGGUACCAAUAUCAAAAUAAACAUAUUUUUACUAGGAAAGAUGAUAUCAAUAUGUUGUGUCUAUCCUGUAUUAUCAGAGUAACUGAAAUUAUUUAACGAAUUCGCGCUUAGUUUGCAAUAGAAUACCCUAUAAAGAUGGCUGUGUAUUUUGACGACAAAACCCGUAAAGGGGUGGCUCUCACCCACGAUUUGGCUCUAGAGGUGUUAAAUGAUGGUAACUAGUCCGAAAUAGAAGAUUAAGAUGGCGAAAAUGAUGUUGCUUUUGACAUUCAAAUGUUUAAAAAUAACACCGAUGACAAGGAUAUUGAAGAAACUGUAUUAGAUGAAGAACCUGUAUUGGAUGAAGAACCUGUUCCUUCAACGAGCUCUUCUUCAGCAAAGAGGCAAUGGAAAGACAUGACAUUUCAGUAAAAAAUUUUUGUUCUAUUUUAGUUAGUAUGUAAUAGAAUAUUAAACAAUUAUAAAAAUAAUUUUUAUUUGGCCCUAAUGGUGUUUUACGUUUAAUAAAAAUGAAUUUUUUCAUACACUUACGAUCCUGCAUUCAUAGAACAUAAGCCGAGAGCGCAUGAACGUGACAUAUCAUUUGUGACAGAUUCAAACAAUGAAUUUUUUUUCUGUAUUUUUUACACUCUUUUUUUUGGGUACCAUAUAUCGUAUUUAUUCAAAGGGAAACUUCAUUUUCACUAAAAAAAAAAA
rnacentral:lncRNA from 1 species